rfam:Triticum aestivum genome assembly, contig: Triticum_aestivum_CS42_TGACv1_scaffold_291161_4AL
GCCGAGCUUAGUUGCGAGAGCUUGUAACCCGAGUGGGGGCAUUAAGGCGAUGUGGACGCUGUUGUAGCGCUGCGGGCCUGGUCUGGGAGUGCUACCGUUGGCCCGCCCGUUCCAAGUUGCGUAGUGGACUGGUUGGGGCCUAUGCGAAAGCUAGGCCUCACGGUCCUUAAUGUGGCAGGCACAGCGUGAGGCUGGCUUCACAGAGCAGCGACAACUGCCCACUUCCAACGGUGAAAGGAUAACGGGCCGUUGCAUUCCUUGGCCACUUGGGCCUCGCAUCCUACUCCAGCGAACCAUCACUUUU